GGUUAACUGAAUAUUAAUCACCUCCGGGGCCUAGGCCAACUGCCACCCAGAGAGUGGCAACAGCAGAACCCAAAGCGGCCGUGCUAGGCUGGGGGUGGGGAAGGGAGUCCACCUGGCCACACCUCCCGCCUAGGUGACAGUUUAACUGCCUCCGCAUCCCACAUCACAACCUCCCCGUGCGAUCCGGCAGCAACUUGGACGUGGGAGUGGCCUGAGACUGUAAGAAGAACCACAUUUUGUUCCCAAUGUCCCAGCCUAGGCCUCCGUGCCAAACUGCAGGUACAGAUCUGUGAUUCCUCAGGAAAGACACAUCUUUAAAGAUCCUUUACAGAUAAUUGCGGUUUAGAAUUAUGAAGGAGAUGGAAUCCAUCCCCAAAGGAGAGGAUUCUUUUGGGAUUUGAAAUUGUUUUGUUUGGCUACAAAGAAGGUUGGAUGUGCUUCAGUGUCUCCUCACAACUUCCUCUACUUUACCAACCAUCUGUCUCCUCUGAAGUACAUCUGCCCCAUCACCUUUGCAAAGUGAGCUGAAAGCUGUCAAAGGAUGUGCCUUCUGAAGAGCGGGCAGGAGGCUCCCAGGCCAGAAAUCCGUCCUUGACAAGCGCCUGCAGUCCCACUGUUAAAAGGUUAUUCCUUUGAAGGUGCAGGAGCUCCGGGGAGGGUAGGAAUAACAGCUUAA